CAAUAGCGUAUAUUAAAGUUGUUGCAGUUAAAAAGCUCGUAGUUGGAUCUGUGGUGUGCGGUGGGCUCCGGGCACUUGUUGUCUGAGUAGCUCGCCGCUGCCAUCCUUGGGUGGAACCUGUGCGGCAUUAGGUUGUCGUGCAGGGGAUGCCCAUCGUUUACUGUGAAAAAAUUAGAGUGUUCAAAGCAGGCUUAUGCCGUUGAAUAUAUUAGCAUGGAAUAAUGAGAUAGGACUUUUUCGCUAUUUUGUUGGUUUGCGCGAAGAGGUAAUGAUUAAUAGGGACAGUUGGGGGUAUUCGUAUUCCAUUGUCAGAGGUGAAAUUCUUGGAUUUUUGGAAGACGAGCUACUGCGAAAGCAUUUACCAAGGAUGUUUUCAUUAA
rnacentral:rRNA from 1 species